UACGUAGGGGGCUAGCGUUGUCCGGAAUCAUUGGGCGUAAAGAGCGCGUAGGCGGCCAGAUAAGUCCGGUGUGAAAGUCACAGGCUCAACCUGUGAAUGCCGCUGGAAACUGUCUGGCUAGAGUCCGGGAGGGGCGAGUGGAAUUCCUGGUGUAGCGGUGAAAUGCGCAGAUAUCAGGAGGAACACCAAUGGCGAAGGCAGCUCGCUGGAACGGUACUGACGCUGAGGCGCGAAAGCCAGGGGAGCGAACGGG
rnacentral:rRNA from 1 species